rnacentral:piRNA from 1 species
UAUGUGUUCUUUUAAGGAGGUUUAAACU